UGGUGGAUAACCUUCCGAAAGGAGGGCUAAUACAGCAUAAGACCACGAUCUCGAAAGAGAAUGCGGUUAAAGCAGGCCUCUAUACAUAAGCUUGCGUCAGAGGAUGAGUCCGCGGCCCAUCAGCUAGUUGGCAGGGUAAUGGCCUACCAAGGCUAAGACGGGUAGCUGGUCUGAGAGGAUGAUCAGCCACACUGGAACUGAGACACGGUCCAG
rnacentral:rRNA from 1 species